CCCUACGGGGCGCAGCAGUGGGGAAUAUUGCACAAUGGGGGAAACCCUGAUGCAGCGACGCCGCGUGAGUGAAGAAGUAUUUCGGUAUGUAAAGCUCUAUCAGCAGGGAAGAAAUACUGACCUUACGGUCAGCAGACGGUACCUGACUAAGAAGCCCCGGCUAACUACGUGCCAGCAGCCGCGGUAAUACGUAGGGGGCAAGCGUUAUCCGGAUUUACUGGGUGUAAAGGGAGCGUAGACGGCAGCACACGUCUGGAGUGAAAUCCCG
rnacentral:rRNA from 1 species